rnacentral:rRNA from 1 species
UACGAAGGGGGCUAGCGUUGUUCGGAAUCACUGGGCGUAAAGCGCACGUAGGCGGAUGUGCCAGUCAGGGGUGAAAUCCCGGAGCUCAACUCCAGAACUGCCUUCGAUACUGGAAGACUUGAGUCCGGGAGAGGUGAGUGGAACUGCGAGCGUAGAGGUGAAAUUCGUAGAUAUUCGCAAGAACACCAGUGGCGAAGGCGGCUCACUGGCCCGGUACUGACGCUGAGGUGCGAAAGCGUGGGGAGCAAACAGG